GACGAACGCUGGCGGCGUGCUUAACACAUGCAAGUCGAACGGAAAGGCUCCAGCUUGCUGGCGUCCUCGAGUGGCGCACGGGUGAGUAACACGUGGGUAAUCUGCCCUGCACUCUGGGAUAAGCCUGGGAAACUGGGUCUACUCCUGGAUCUGACCUUUCUCCUUUUGGGGUUAGGUGGAAAGCUUUUUGGUGUAGGAUGAGCCCGCGGCCUAUCAGCUUGUUGGGGGGGUGAUGGCCUACCAAGGCGACGACGGGUAGCCGGCCUGAGAGGGUGAGCGGCCACAUUAGGACUGAGAUACGACCCAGACUCCAACGGGAGGCAACGGUGGGGAAUAUUACACAAUGGGCGGAAGCCUGAUGCAGCGACGCCGCGUGAGGGAAGACGGCCUUCGGGUUGUAAACCACUGUCAGCUGGGACGAAGCGUAAGUGGCGGUACCUGCAGAAGAAGCACCGGCUAACUAUGUG
rnacentral:rRNA from 1 species